AAAAUUUAAAUGGCCGCAGUAAUUUGACUGUGCAAAGGUAGCAUWAUCAUUAGUUUUUUAAUUAGAAGCUAGAAUGAAUGGUUGGACGAGAUAUAAUCUGUCUUUGGAUAAAAAAUAGAAUUUAAUUUUUAAGUUAAAAAGCUUAAAUGGUAAUAAAAGACGAGAAGACCCUAUAGAUUUUUAUAUUAUUAUUUUUAUUAUAGAUUAGGAUUAUUUUAUUUAUUAUAUUUAAUUAUAUUUUAUUGGGGUAAUAAGGAGAUUAAAUUAAUUCUCUUAAAUAUUUUACAAUAAUGUUUGAUUUAUUUGAUCCUUUAUUAUAGAUUAAAAGAUUAAGUUACCUUAGGGAUAACAGCGUAAUUUUUUUGAAGAGUUCAUAUCGAUAAAAAAGUUUGCGACCUCGAUGUUGGAUUAAAAAUUAUUCUAGGAGUAGAAGUUUAGAGUUUUGGUCUGUUCGACCAUUAAAUUUUU
rnacentral:rRNA from 1 species